rnacentral:rRNA from 1 species
AGAGCGAACGCUGGCGGCAGGCCUAACACAUGCAAGUCGAGCGCCCGUAGCAAUACGGGAGCGGCAGACGGGAUAGUAACACGUGGGAACGCGCCCUUCGGUUCGGAAUAACUCAGGGAAACUUGAGCUAAUACCGAAUACGCCCUUACGGGGAAAGAUUUAUUGCCGAAGGAACGGCCCGCGUCCGAUUAGCUAGUUGGUGAGGUAAUGGCUCACCAAGGCUACGAUCGGUAGCUGGUCUGAGAGGAUGACCAGCAUCACUGGGACUGAGACACGGCCCAGACUCCUACGGGAGGCAGCAGUGGGGAAUAUUGGACAAUGGGCGCAAGCCUGAUCCAGCCAUGCCGCGUGGAUGAUGAAGGCCUUAGGGUUGUAAAGUCCGUUUUAACGGGGAAGUAUAAUGACGGUACCCGUAGAAUAAGCCCCGGCUAACUUCGUGCCAGCAGCCGC